rnacentral:rRNA from 1 species
UCGCUGUACCAUUCCCUGGGCCACCUUUUUCCACAAUGGGUGCGUAACACGUGGGCAAUUUGCCUUAAAGUGUGGAAUAGCUCGGCGAAAGCCGAAUUAAUACCGCAUGUGGCUACUGGAGACAUCUUCGGGACGCUAAAGGUGGCGCAAGCUACCGCUUUUUGAGGAGCCCGCGGCCUAUCAGCUUGUUGGUGAGGUAACGGCUCACCAAGGCGUUGACGGGUAGCUGGUCUGAGAGGACGACCAGCCACACUGGGACUGAGACACGGCCCAGACACCUACGGGUGGCAGCAGUCGAGAAUUUUUGACAAUGGGGGAAACCCUGAUCGAGCGACGCCGCGUGGAGGAUGAAGGUCUUCGGGUUGUAAACCCCUGUCAUUUGGGAACAAGGCGUAUUUAUUAACUGUAAGUACGUUGAUAGUACCAGAAGAGGAAGAGACGGCUAACUCUGUGCCAGCAGCCGCGGUAAUACAGAGGUCUCAAGCGUUGUUCGGAUUCAUUGGGCGUAAAGGGUGUGUAGGUGGCGCGCUAAGUCGGGUGUGAAAUUUCGGAGCUUAACUCCGAAACUGCAUUCGAUACUGGCGUGCUUGAGGACUGGAGAGGAGACUGGAAUUCACGGUGUAGCA